UGGCAUAACCUGAGAUAGGUACACAUCCAUGGCUUAUUUGGGACAGGAGACAAUAAAUUGGGAGAGGAUGAAAUGCAGAAGUAGUGAUGAUUACCUUCUUGGCAGUGAUUAUUCAGUGAGACAUUCAAAAUUGUUUUGGGACACAUGGGCAGGCACAGAGCUUCCUUCCUUUGGUGGGGAGAAAAAAACCCUUAGUGACUCACACCGAAAGGAGUGAAACCACUGCAUUGCAACAAGUUUCUAUCAUCUCAAGACCUAAAAUGGACACCUAACAUCAAAAACGUCAUCAGAAAAGAACAACAAAGAAUGUUCUUUCUGCGCCAACUCAGGAAGCUGCUGAUCCAGUUCUACAGAGGAAUUAUUGAGUCUGUCAUCUGCACCUCUAUAACUGUCUGGUUUGGUUCUGCAACUCAACAAGACUGACACAGGCUUCAGAGAAGAACUGCAGAAAAAACAAAACUUUGUUCUUUGUAUCCUUGUGAUUUAUGUUGAUAUUGAUUGUUUCCUAGUAUGAUUUGAUUGCUUAUUGUACCGUAUGACUGUCACUGGGUGUUGUGCCUUGUGAUUCUUGACAAGUGUAUCUUGUCUUUUUAUGUACACUGAGAGCAUAUGCACCAAAGACAAAUUCUUUCUGUGUCCAAUCACACUUGGCCAAUAAAGAAUUCUAUUCUGUUCUGUUCUGUUCUGUUCUGUUCUAUUCUAAUGCUUAAUAUAGAAAAAUACCAAUGUGAACAGGCUUGGUUCAUCAAUGUUUAGUGGAAGAAUUGCCCACCCAAUUUGCAGUUGCCUCAUGAUUUCAGGGCCUCAGAAUCUACUCUCAGUAAUGUGUGUCCACAAACAGAUGCAAAAAUCAUUCAAAAAUCUUAAAUUCAUAUCAGCAUUAGAAUACUCACUGGACUUUAUUUCUUCCUAGCGUAUAAAAAUUACAGCCUUCCAGAUGUUACUGAAUAGCCAUAGCCAGCAUAAUCAUUGGUAAAAGAUGCUGGAAAUUAACUCAGGAACAUGGAGUUCAACACACAUUAUCCACCCCUUUGGCCUAGUAGUAAAUAGGCCAAAAGUAGGUUCAUGCUAAUUUAAGGCUGUGCCAAUCUAAAAAACAAAUAUUAAAACAUAAAUACAGCUUCGUAUCUAUUUUUAAUUUGGCAAAUUUGAAAUUGCAAGAACUAGACUCGAGUCAAAGGUGCACACGCAUAAACACACACACACAUACAGUUGAAACCUGGAAAAGGAUCAGAAAUGAUAGGGUUAAGAUAGUUAUCUCAUUAACGUUAUGACACCAAUAAGAAAUAGAAUAGAAUUCUUUAUUUGUAAGGAAUGAUAUCAAAGCAGAAGGGAUACUUUCCUGUUUAUAUUUUCUGGUCGAAAAUGAAUGCAAACAUUUCUUCAUAGAAAUAGCUUCUGGUUAUUUCUAUAGGUUUUUUUACAAUUUCAAAAUUUUGGUACAAUCUGAUGAAGUGAAAAAAAAUAGUCUGAAGUAUAUUCGGUUCAAUUUAAAUUGGGGGGGGAGGGGGAGGAAAUAGCCCAAAUCACUGAAAAGGUAGUGCAGAUAUCUGUACAGAUCAAUAGUAAAAUUUCCUUGAAGUCAAACCUGACUCCUAGUGGAUUUUUGGAGACAUACAUGUGCUUUUUUUUUCAGUGUUUUGCUACUGCUAUCUUCUAGUCUCCCACACAAAUGCUAAUCAGGCCCAACACUGCUUAGCUUACAAACAAAGACAAGGUGUACAAUAUAUUUAUUAUUUAUUUACUUAUUUUAUUUUAUUAAAUUUUUAUACCGCCCUUCUCCCAAAGGACUCAGGGCGGUGUACAGCCAAGAUAAAACACAGGAAUAUAUACAAAUUAAAACAUUUAAAACCUAGCAAAUUACAAUAAAGGCUGAUAAUUAAAAUUUAGUUUUAAAAUUUUAAAAAUAUACUUACGUACUAUAGUAAAACUCUAAGAAGGCAAUAUAUUUAUCUAUGUUUAUCUACAAAAAUAUGCUAAAAUUCAGGAAAUGUGAUACAUUAAAAAUUUUUACAUUACUGUACCAAGUAUAAAAAUCUUAAGCACAUAUUAUAAGUAAAUUACUAUAAAUUAUGUAUUAUUUAUGGAUAUGUAAGGUAAAAAAGAAGGUCGUUUCAUUGAUACAUUAGAUUCUUAUUUAUUCCUUUGUUGGAAUAAUACUUAACCUCAGAUGCAUUUUGUAGAUCAACUUCACCAGUCUGUUCUUUGGCAGACAUCCAGUGAGGCUAAGAUAUCUAAAAGGAUCACUUUGUUCUAUAUCGACCUGCCUAUUAUUUAUGACCGUCAUCAUAAAUUGUCGUAAAUUCUAUCAAUUUAAUAGAUUAGCUUGGCAGGUGCUUGAAAAAGGAUCUUUGAUAACAUGACUGUAAAACCUUCUCUAUGCAGCAAUUUUUUUUUGUACUAGCAGGGUUUUAAACAUAGUAUUGUGUUUGGUGUUUUGUCGACAUAUAAUAUUAAUGUAAUUCUCAAAUUUCAUUAUAUGAUUUUUGUUCUUAUAGGGUUUUUUAUUUUUUAUGAAGUGUUUACCGUACAGUAUUGAAUGUUUAAUGAGUAGUACUAUUCACAUGGAAAUACUGAUUAAAGCAGAAAUAGGGAACCAAUAACCCUCUAAAUUAUUAACUGAACUUCAAUUUCUAACAUUUUUCAUUGUUGGCUAGGGUUUUAUGAAUUGUAGUUUAGUAACAUUUGGAGAAGUCCUGGACUUCAUCUUAAAAGGAAACAUUAUAAAGUAAUAUUUUCUAGAUUUGAUUUCUUAUAUACAAUAAACAUGUUUAGUUAAUGUGUAUGGUUUAUAUUAAAACUUCUUUGUAUUUAAUUAGAAAUGUGUUGAAAACUUUGGGUAAAGCUCCUGCUGUACUUAUGGCUCAGAUUAUAAAUUUACAGAAACAGAACUGUUUGCUAGUGUUAUUUUUAAAACAAAGUACAAUAUCGCCUUGUUGACAACUAAAAACUGAAUACCAAAAUUGUGAAACAUCUGCAAGACCAUCAUCUGCCAAGAUUUAGAAAUGUAUUGUCCCAGGAGGAAUUGCAAAAUGUUUUCAAAUACAAGAGCAAAAGAGUGAUUUCUAAAAACAAAUCGAAAUUUAGAUACUAAGAUUAAAAUAAUAUAGGGGAAGUAGGUGUAAAAAAUAAUCAUAAAUAAAAUAAUCAUUCUCAUAGGAGCCAUUGGCCUCUUACAUUUUACUCAAUAAAUAAGCAACAUCUCUUAAAAAUAACAAUGAAAAAGAGAGAGAUCUACUGUGUGUACAUAUUACGUUCUAUAAAUUUGAUUUUUAUAGCUCUAAGCCGGCACAUUUCAUUUCUCCUUUUUAAUCUUCCUUUGCACAGAGCAGUAGCUGUUUGGGAAAAAAAACCUUCAGGUUUAUGAGAGAGGUGAAUCCAUUAUAUCCAAGGCUAAAACAGUGUGUACACACAAAUAAGAUAGUUAUGACAUAACACAUAAAUAUUGUCAAACAUGGAAAAAGCCACAGACCACCAAACUGGUUUAUGAUCCUUGUCUUCAAAGAUUCACUCUGCACUUUCUAUAGAAAUAGAACAGGCUUUGGCUGGUUUACAAAACAGAAAGAGGCAACAAUUUUGAAGAAAAAUAAUGCUCAAUCUGUACAGCACUGCUUUCAUCCAGGCAAGAAAAAGCAAACUACUAGUUUACAUCCAUUCUACCCUAUUUAUGGAGAUACUCUACUAUUGCUGAAUGCUGAAUAGGCACAAAGAAUCUUUUCAACUGCAAGAAUUGAUUAGUAUGUGGUGGAAUAAUAGAAAGUAGGUUUGUGUCAUAAUCUGCAUGAAAGCUUCUCAGAUAUUUGAAGAUGUUUAUGCCUGUUAAUCAUGUCUUCU